rnacentral:lncRNA from 1 species
UCUCCAAUCUCCUCAUCAAAGCUCCACUUCUUUUCAUAGGUUUGGCUCCUAUCUGGAACGCACACCGGUCCCCAUGGCAUUGUCUGGCACAGGUACGCUGGUGGCUUCUAUUGCCUCCAAGGUGGCAUCUUCAGUGGCCGUGGUCAAAGCCGGAGGGGCGGUAUCCAGCACCAUCCUAGCUAGCUCACAGGGGCUCAACUUGUUAGCCCAGACUGCACUGGGCUCUGGAGCUUCUGCACUUGGAUCUGCAUUGGGAGCACUGAAGGCUGGCACCGUUUUAUCCAGCCUCCCUGCCUCCGCCUUGGCUGUUUGCCCCAUUGGAGUCAAGACUGCUGUCGCCAUGCUUGGGGGAGGUAAGUGAUGUCAUGGAAUGGGUGUAGGUUCCCCUCCUACUCUCCCUGUAAGCAUGGAGCCAGGAAACACUCCAUCUUGUCCCAGUAGGCUUCCCCGGAGUUAGUGGGGCAAAGGUGGAGAUGGGAUGAGGGAACUGGCUGAAAGAAGGAAGUAGAGAAAAGGAAGGAGUGUAGUGGUGUAGAGGCAGGAGAGGCCAUAUCUUCCUCCGGUGCCCACCUCCUGUGACCUGGUGCAUGGUUUGAAUUCUUUUGCGCUCCUAACAGAGAAAAUUGGGACUGUUUACCCCAUAUAGUAUUUACCAAGGGGGCUCUAGGAAGGGGAAAGGAACUUGGAAUGUACAAAGAUUGACUGUGUGUUGGGGUC